rnacentral:rRNA from 1 species
GAUGAACGCUGGCGGCGUGCCUAAUACAUGCAAGUCGAGCGAACAGACGAGAAGCUUGCUCCUCUGACGUUAGCGGCGGACGGGUGAGUAACACGUGGAUAACCUACCUAUAAGACUGGGAUAACUUCGGGAAACCGGAGCUAAUACCGGAUAAUAUAUUGAACCGCAUGGUUCAAUAGUGAAAGACGGUUUUGCUGUCACUUAUAGAUGGAUCCGCGCUGCAUUAGCUAGUUGGUAAGGUAACGGCUUACCAAGGCAACGAUGCAUAGCCGACCUGAGAGGGGGAUCGGCCCACCUGGAACCUGGACCCCGUCCCGACUCCUACGGGGAGGAGCAGUAGGGAAUCCUCCGCAAUGGGCGGAAACCCGGCGGAACAACGCCGCGUGGGUUGUGAAAGUCUUCCGAUCCGAAAAAUCUGUUAUUAGGGAAAAACAAAUGUGUAAGUAACUAUGCACGUCUUGACGGUAACUAAUCAGAAAGCCACGGCUAACUUCGUG